AUGGAUGUCCUCAUCAAGAACCCCACCGGCAGCACGACCCCCCUGAGGGUCUACCCAUCGGACACCGUGCGUGAUGUCAAGGCAAAGAUUCAGGAACAAUACCCCCUCUUCUUUGGUGGGGUGCAGCUGGAUGACAGCCUUACACUGGCCAAUUACAACAUCCAGCAUGAAUCCACGAUCGACCUCCGCGAGAAGAUGAACAUGAAGGUCUACGUGACAGAGACGGUGGCGGGCAGGACCAUCACGAUCAACGUCAACAGUCUAGACACCGUCGAUAACUUGAAAUCCAAGAUCCAGGACCUUGAGGGCUUCCCGAAGGCUCAGCAGUGCCUCGUCUUUGCCAGCACGCGGCUGGAUGACGGGAACCGCACCAUGAUUGGCCACAACAUUCGGAAUGAGUCCACCCUUCUCCUUGUCCUCCUCCCGUGUAUUCCGAGAGGAGACAUGAUGCAGGUCUUCGUGAGGACGCUGGAUGGGAAGACCAUCACUCUUUGGGUUGGUAGCUUGGACACGGUCGGCAGUAUCAAGGUGAAGAUCUACGAGAUGAAGUACGGCCCUUUCCCUAAACAGCAGCGUCUCAUCUUUCAAGGCAAGCAGCUGGAGGACGGCCACGCAUUGGCGGACUACAGCAUUCAUAGGGAUUGUACCCUUCAUUUGAUGAUCCGCCAGCAUUCAUAG
rnacentral:rRNA from 1 species